rnacentral:lncRNA from 1 species
UUCAUUUAUCAGUGUCACCCGGUCUGUUCUUUCCGGAGCUGAUGGGGAAUAGCUGUCCAGCUCGUAUGGGGUGCCAUAGUUAGAAGACUCGAUGUCAGCGUACUUGACUUCACCCUUCAUGUCAGACAUGGGCACAUAAUCCAGAGACUCAUCCUUGCUCAUGUCCAUGUAGCCCCCAUCGCUCUCGACAGACAAGGAGAGGUGACUCUGCACGUGGUCCUCCUUGAUGGUAUUCCCAUACAGCUCUG